UUACUCUAUUAAAGGGAUCUUGAUUUUUUUUCUUCUUAGUAAAAACAGUAUGAAAUAAAAAUAAGAUUAUUACUUAAAGCUGGAAGUUUAUGUACGUAUAAAUAAAAGAUGAAAUAGAGAACCUUUGUCUCAAUAAAUGGAGAAACUAUUGUGUUCUUCUAACUAAUAUUUAUGUGUAAUGUUGAAAAAAUGAGGAUACUGAGUUUUAAAUGGAUAUUUUCAUCAUUUGCCUGGCUGAAAUUUGUAUAUGUGAAUACAGAAUAACUAGGAUAAACCAUGUAUAUGUUGGUAAAAUGUGAACAGAUAACUAAGCCUAAGUUAAGCUGUUUAUAGUUGUAGUUGUGGGCAUUGUAAUAUCUAAUGUUUUUUGCAUAAAGUUAUAUACAUAUUUAAGUGUUAGUUUUGGCUAAUCUUACUUGAAAUGUUAAACAUUACACUAAAAACUAUAUAGAGAAUGUGUAUAGUAAUUACUAUAGAUGCUACUGAUGUGUUCUUCUAGUUUUAGGUCAUAGUUUGUAAUGCUGUUUGUAUAAUACAUGCUUCUAAUAAUCAAAUAAUAUUGGAAUUACUUGAAUUGACGACAUUUGAUAAGCUUACUUAACGUGAAGCAGGCGCCUGCAAGUACCUCUUUUUUCUUUUUAGUAACAUUUAUAUACUUUAGCUAUGUUACGUUUCUUUCUAAAAAUCAUUCAAACCAAUGUUAGUCUUGUACAAUAAUCCAAGCUGAAUAUUAGCACAGGGAAGUCAUCCUCUACUCAUGCAUGAAUUUCCACUUGUGUCAUAUUCUGUCACAAUUAUGUAUAUUUCUGGGCCCAACUGUCUUUAUAAAACUAUGCUGUCUCAAUAAAAUGAUUUUUUAAUUUUAAUAUACGAGACUUUCUUGUUGCUACUACCCCAAAGUAUAUUAAUUUAUGUCAAAUAUUAUAUUUCCUUAUGUCAUUUUGUUUUAACCUUGCACCUAUGUGUUUAGUAUUCAAUUAUUAUGUUCUUCAUUUUAAUAUACUUUAGUUUUUUAUUGUUUGUCUGCUGGUUCAGGGUUACAAUGUAAUAGGCUGUCAAACUAAUGACUGUUCCAUUAUUUGUUUCAUAUUUCAGUACUAUAUUAGACUUCUUCAUGAUGAACUCUAUUAAAAAUACAUUUCUGGAAAGUUGAAAGAAUGGUAUUAACUAUGUGUUGCACUUACCAGCAUAAAGCCUUUCUGGAAUGCAUUCAUGAAUGUUGGAGGCACUAUUUUUACAAUGUGUUGCGUUUCAUUCUAGCAAACAGCUUUCCUGGAAAUCAGUUCUAGAAGACUGAAAGUCUAUGAUUUGUACAAUGUGUUAAUAUUUGCAUGACAACACAGAGCUUUCCUGGAAAUCAGUUCUGGAAGAUUGAAUGUGUUAAUACUUAUGCUACAGUAGAAAGCUUUCCUGGAAUUUAGUUCUGGAAGACUGAAAUUAAUAUAAUGUAUUAACAUUUAGAUAUAAAACUUUUAUGGAAUGCAUACUGACUACCCAGAGCAUAUGUGAUGGUUUUAAAUACACGUUUCACUGUCAUUAUUUUAUGACAAAACAACUUAAAUAUAGAAUUUACAUCCUCAUUUAUCUCAUGCCUACAGAACUAGAAGAUGUUUUUUUUGUAUUAUAAUAUCUUAAUCUUGGUUGGUAUUGAAACUCAAGUAUAUGAUACAAUAAUUGACAAUUAGUGUCUGCUGUGAUAUUAUGGCUGUUUUUUUAUGCUAAGUAUGAUUGGACUAAAACAAUAAAAUAGUAUCUAAGAAUAGUAUCUCUAAAUGAAUCAGUUAACACCACAGAACCACUGUGCAAUAUGGAACACAUUGUUAGCUGCAUCAAAGCUGUCUAUACCAUUGCCUCAGAACACUGUUGACUCUUAAUCAAGAGUAAAUCAAUUUUUUUUUCUUGCUUGACUAAAAUUAUCACUUUUCCUGGGCUUAAAGCUAUAGAGUUUGUCAUUCCCUGAGAAAUCAUUGAAUGAUAUAUUUUGAAAUAAAAAACUUUUUUUUGUUAAGAUAGUCAUUAACUAGUUUGAGCAUUAAAAACCAUAGCCAAGUAAAUACUCAAAUAGACUUGAAAUGUUUAAUGGCCAUUUUUUGUGCCGUGAAUGAAAGAAAUUGUUAAAAAAAGAAAAGAAGUUGUAUUUCUAAUGGUGUUCUUUAAUUUUUCUGUGAUCUAAAGUCAAUGCAGAACUGAAGUAUUUAUUACAUUCAGGUAGUUUUUGUUUUAUGUGAUUGCUCUUGCUGAAGAACUACUUACCCUAACAGUGAUAGAAUAUAUGGGAAGGCAGAAGGCAUUUAUCCAACAUGACACCUGUUUCAAAGCAAAAUGUAAUGAGAAAAAUGUCAUGCUUAGUUAUAUUUUUACACAAUAUUAUUUAAUGUUUUUGCACUACCAGUGUUCCGAUACUACAAUUUCCAAGAAUACAUGUUGUUGGAGUGACUUUGGUUUUUCAUUAAUUGGGAAAGACUGGUUAUAAUAUAUUAAGAUUAAGGUACAAGUAUUAAAAAGCAACUCAUUUUAUAUAGAUUGGAUAUAAUUUGUAAAUAAUUAACCCUUGCAGACUGGUUAGUAGGUGUAAUGAUAUAAUAUUUAAAGAAGCAACCCUUGCAACCUGGUUAGUAGGUGUAAUGAUAUAAUAUUUAAAGAAGCAACCAUUGCAGCCUGGUUAGUAGGUGUUAUGUAAUAUUUAAAGAAGAAACCCUUGCAUCCUAGAUAGUAGGUGUAAUGAUAUAAUAUUUAAAGAAGCAACCAUUGCAGCCUGGUUAAUAGAUGUUAUGUAAUAUUUAAAGAAGAAACCCUUGCAUCCUAGAUAGUAGGUGUAAUGAUAUAAUAUUUAAAGAAGCAACCAUUGCAGCCUGGUUAGUAGGUGUUAUGAUAUAAUAUUUAAAGAAGAAACCCUUCAAAUUGCAUGCCUUAGCAAAGAUGUUGUUGAGGAAAUAAUUGUCAGAUGAGUAUCUUGUUGUCUUGCUUUAUUGAAAGUUUCCUAGUAAAGAAUAAAACCAUAUUUACUUUAGAUAACACAUUUAACAAUUAAUUUAAAUGCAUACUUUGUGGAUAGAAAUUUACAAGUGUUGUCUUAAUGGGUGAAUGAUGGAAAUUAUAAAUAGAUUGUAAGGAUACUGUUUAAUUUUUAUUUUAAAAUCCAAUUUUUUAUUAAAAAGAAUCAAAUAAAUUUGUGUGAUUCUGUUAUAAGUAUGUUUAUUUUAUAUCAGAUUACUUAGAUUUUAUUAUAUAUGCUUUACAGUAUGAAUGAGUUGUUAUAUAUAUUAUUUAUACCACAUAGUUGUUUUUGUAGAAUUUGUUUUCCAGUAAAGUUAUUCAUGUCAUGACUUAAUGUUUCAUACAACAUGAGUAACAUAAUUGAAGCACCGACAACUAUGAAGAAAUUGGCAACAGAUAUAGUUGUGUUUUCCAAAACAAAUGUGAUCUGAAAUUCUGUAUGAUGUUAGAUGAAAAGGCAGUUUUAGAAACUUCAUAGAGAGCAUAAAUUUGAAUGUUGUUUAAUAAAAAAAUAAUCAUUUAGCAGAUAGUGAUAGAUUGUAAUUAGAAUACUACUACUUUAUUAUUCCUUAUAAUUUGAUUAUUUAUAAUAUUCUCCAUCAUUUUACAAACUCCAUAUAUUACUCAAUAGGAAAAGCUUUGAUUUUGUUGUAAAUAGUGUAAAUAUUGAUGACAGUUCCAAAGUUUCUGUGUCAUCUUUGAUGUUGUGCAAGUUUACCAAGCAAAUGUAAUCUCCUUGGAUAAACUGUAUAUACUGAUAAGAACCGCAUUGUCUAUGAGUAAUAGCUGUAUAAUUUUUGUCACAUUGUCUAUGAGUAAUAGCUGUAUAAUUUUUGUGUGAGUGUUUGUGAUUUAACAUCAUAUUCCUAUCGAAAGAAUGAACAAAUAAACUGUACACCUUCUCUGUUAGUAGUUUAAUAAAGAAAACACGCUAAUAAAGUUCUGUCUCAUUU